ACGACCUUACUUGAACAGGAUCUGUUCUAUAGGCUCGUACCACUGUAUCCUUGAUUUCUAAGGAGACAGGAAUUCAAGUCUGGUGGAUGAAAUAUGGCCAUGAGGCUAGAGCGUGAUUAACAGCUUUGGUAUGGUCCUCGGGCCUACUGCGCAGUAGAUGAUCGUUCUCAGGCCUCUCGUGGGUCUGGGGUGGUCUCUUGGCUCUCUGACAGACU